CCUACGGGAGGCAGCAGUGGGGAAUAUUGCACAAUGGGGGAAACCCUGAUGCAGCGACGCCGCGUGCGUGAAGAAGUAUCUCGGUACGUAAAGCUCUAUCAGCAGGGAAGAAAAUGACGGUACCUGACUAAGAAGCCCCGGCUAACUACGUGCCAGCAGCCGCGGUAAUACGUAGGGGGCAAGCGUUAUCCGGAUUUACUGGGUGUAAAGGGAGCGUAGACGGCAGGACAAGUCUGGAGUGAAAUCCCGGGGCUUAACCCCGGAACUGCUUUGGAAACUGGGCGGCUGGAGUGCAGGAGGGGUAAGCGGAAUUCGUAGUGUAGCGGUGAAAUGCGUAGAUAUGAGGAGGAACACCGGUGGCGAAGGCGGCUUACUGGACUGUAACUGACGUUGAGGCUCGAAAGCGUGGGGAGCAAACAGGAUUAGAUACCCCUGUAGUC
rnacentral:rRNA from 1 species